GGGGAUUUAGCUCAGUGGUAGAGCGCUUGCCUAGCAAGCACAAAGCCCUGGGUUCGGUCCCCAGCUCCA
rfam:Rattus norvegicus chromosome 12, whole genome shotgun sequence.